GUGCCAGCAGCCGCGGUAAUACGUAGGAUCCGAGCGUUGUCCGGAAUUACUGGGUGUAAAGGGCGUGUAGGUGGGUUCCUAAGUCGGUGGUGAAAUCCCGCAGCUUAACUGCGGAAUUGCCUUCGAUACUGGGGAUCUUGAGUGCGGCAGAGGGAGAUGGAAUUCAUGGUGUAGCGGUGAAAUGUGUAGAUAUCAUGAAGAACACCGGUAGCGAAGGCGGUCUCCUGGUCCGUAACUGACACUGAUGCGCGAAAGCGUGGGGAGCAAACAGGAUUAGAUACCCCAGUAGUCC
rnacentral:rRNA from 1 species